CUGGUGGAAAAUACUCAUUGUUACAGGCUGAAUGUUUUCAUGUGGGCUCAUUAAAUCACCCAGCCCUCCCUGGGAAGGGUGAGGGUACAGAGCACAGGAGGGAGGAGGAAGGGGUGGCCCCCUUGAAUAGGAAGGGGGAGGGGACAGUGGAGGGGCAGACGAGAAGAGGUGUGCCCAGCUCUCACUAAAGCCAUUUCUGCCCAGGAGAGGAACCAACACACACAGGGGCCUUCGAAACCAAGCCCUUUAUGUGGGUCAUCUCAUCUCAGCCUCACUCUGCAGGGCGGACUGUCACCCACGUGUCACAGAAGAGGCCUGUGAGCCACUGAGCCAUUAUGUAGCUUGCCCAAGGAGCCACAGUUAUGACGUGGGCCAGCACUGAAACCCAUGGACACACCCCUUCCGUGACCCCAGAGUGCCAUGUGCUCUGAAAAGCUCACUGGCUUCUGGAAGAGAGGAUAAUGGAUAUUGGGGGCAACUAGCAAUCUCUGCCACUGGAACACAAUCUCCCCUCCCCCCCAGGACUUCGGUGAACCAAGGUCAAGGCAAUGGCAGACUGCAAGGGGAGGAGAGAGGUGAUCUGGUCCUGCGGCCCCAACACGUUCUCCUGGCCUGGCUCCCAGGCUGCUUAACCACC
rnacentral:lncRNA from 1 species